AUGUUAAUAAUAAUAAUAAUAAUAAUAAUAAUAAUAAUAAUAAUAUGUUUAAAAAGUGGGGCGGUGGAAAGAAAAAUAUAUAUAUAAGAUAAAGAGGGUUUGGGCGGUGGAGAAAAGUUUAGAAUAGAAAAGUUUAUAUAAAAUUGGGGGUAGUGCUUUAUAAUAAUGAAAAUAAAGGUGAGGUAGUGGAUGUGUUUGGAAACCGUGUGAAAGAUAUAUUGAAUAUGUUAAAGAGAGUGCAGGUUGGGGCUUGUGUAAUCCAGAUUCCUUCUAUUUAAUAUCAUCCACUGAAUGUACCUCAAGGUCCAUAUUCCCACAAUCAUGAUAUGACACUGCUUCACCACAUCAUCAAGACCUAGCUCGUAGAUGGAGCUGGUCACUGUUCCAGGCUGUAAUACGAGGAAUAGAAAUAUCAACAACGGCCACUUCAACGGAAGGGCACUUGAGGGCUAUCACGGCCAUGGUAGGGCCACCAACAUACCCAGCUCCAAUGCAGCAAAUCUUCACCAUUUUUCUUCUCUAUCUA